GGACUUCCAGACAGUGUGGGCGGGGCCGGCAGGCGGCUGGAGGCGGGGCCUGCGAGCGGGGCCCUUUAGACUGGGGUCUCCCCACCCGGUGGGCAGCCGCCUGCGUCCACUUCCGCGGGCGCCCUGCGGCGCCCCCAUCUGCUCACCUACGCGAGGCCCCCGGCGGCUUGCGGGACUCGGCCGGCUCCCCGCCGCAUCUGGAAGGGUCGAAAAGAAACGAGAGCUGGGGGGUCAUCCUUUCCGCUCCUUUCCGGAGCGGAAAAGCGCCUCGCCCUGAAAAUACAAACCCAGAGCCCAGGCAGCGGGUCGUCGUGGGGCCAGCACCCCUCGGGGCUCCGGUCGUGUCCUGAGGCACUCGGGACUGUCCGGACCCCCUGGGCCCUUGUUUCAAGAGUUGGCAGUGAUCGGGCAUAUUUAGGGACAAUACUUGUGAUUUCCGGGGCUCAGCACCUGCUCUUGGAUCUUCUCAAGGCCUGCUAGAUUUCAGAAUCUCAAAGGUUUGGCCACUGCACUCCCAACCCCUAAGGAAAGGAUAGGAGAUGAAUUAUUAAAGGACACCGGGCCAUUAGCAUAUCGGGCCUCACCUCUCUGGGGCCCUUGCCCUUGAGCAACUGAAUGUUUUAUUGAAGAGGAAAAAACAUGCACGACAAAGUUUUCUAUUACGGUCUUACAUUACAUUUGGAAUCAGUAAAGAAAAAAAAAAACCAACUGCUAUUGUUUUCAUGAAUGGUACUGAUGAAACCUGCACCACAAAGAGUCGAGGCCGGGAAGACUGUCCUUCCGCCAGCGGACAGAUCCCUGUUGAGGCCCAUCGGCUCACCGGACACCCCGUUAUUACUGCCACCUGAUCCCCCAUCAUUGUUCCCUUUCUACCUCGUGACACGUCCCAACGCUUGGUACCUGCGUCAUCUUUGAACAUUCUCACGUCCUUCGGCAUGCAGCUGUGUCUUUGGAGUCUGCCUCUUGCCCUGUAUCACCCUCUGCCCUUGCACUUGGCUCGAGUGCACGGGUCCUAAGCUUGGUACAGACACUAACUCACUCCUUGUCUGCCAUAUGUGGCCACAAAUGAUCAACCUCGCUCCUGUGGAGCACUGUGGCCAAAAUCCCAAUCUUGAAAAAGAGACUUGUGACAAAUUCAUUUCGGACUUCCUGUAUUAUUAUUCAAACGGUGGUCAACAGUCAGUCUACACAAUUUGAGAUGCACCUUGAUAUAAAAAAAUGUGUCCAAAAAGUUGAGGAUAAAUGAAAUUUUGAUAAAUUUAUUCUCAACUGUUUAGUGUACACUUCUCAUUUUAGUAAGUCUGUACUUAGAAUUUGGGGAAAUUAACUUACUCAUAAGUUAAUUUAGCAUGGGAAAGAAAACACAUAAGUACAAUAUUGGUAGAUUACAAGUGACAAAUGUUUGAAGAAUGAAUGAGCAAGCGAAUGAAUGCAUUGGUGUUACUGGGCAAAAACAAUAAAUGAAAUAUUGGAGACUAUG